rnacentral:lncRNA from 1 species
AUGUGGCUGUUGUUGUUGUUGUUAGCCACUCAUUUUUGGUAUGGCUCCUCAUGCAGCAGUAGAUCCGCAGCAUGGUCUUCCCUGGGAAGAAUCCCAGCCUCAGAAGCACCCUAUCCAAUAGUAGUUUGUUUCCUUUGUCUCAUGUUUUUAUCUACUGUCCUGAGCAACUUCCUCUUUAUUUCCUCAGUUACCGCUCCACUAUCUGAUCUAUCCACUCUCCAUGGAUUUUCAAGGAAGAUCAGUGAUGUUGUGAAAAAGGUCUUGACCUUUGAUUGGUACCCUCAGAGAAGACUAUCAGGCAUAAAGACCAAUAGGAACCCAAAGCAGCGAGAGAAGCUGAAAAUAAGGGAACUGUGCCUCUUGUCUCCAUGGAAGCUUUGGAGAAAAGGUGUUAAUGGUUAAUUUAUUUCUUAUUUA